rnacentral:sRNA from 1 species
GCUGGGCAUGAUGGUGCAUGCCUGUAAUCCCAGUGGCUUGGGAGGCUGAGGCAGGAGGAUUACGAGUUCAAAGCCAGUCUCAGCAAAAGCAAGGUGCUAAGCAACUCGAUGAAACCCUGUCUCUG